rnacentral:rRNA from 1 species
AUGCUUGACAGAUCGUUGCAGGAUAUAAUGGAAUGUCCUCUACCGUUUGGUGGAAAGGUUGUCGUCUUUGGUGGGGAUUUUAGGCAGGUCCUCCCCGUUGUGACCCGAGGGACAAGAGCACAAGCGGACCCUUGGUUCUCCGAAUACCUCCUUAGGAUAGGCGAUGGAAUGGAAGAAACAAUUGGCGGCGACUAUGUGCGUCUCCCUGAAGACAUUGUGAUUGCUUAUACCGAGGACGAAGAACCUGUUAACAAGCUCAUCGAAGAUGUCUUCCCAUCCCUGCACACCAAUGCUAGGUCGAGGGAGUACAUGAGCAAACGUGCAAUUCUCUCGACAAAAAACGAGCAUGUGGAUGACCUGAAUGACAAGAUGAUCUCUAGGUUUCCGGGAGAAGAAAAGGUAUACCAUAACUGCCCGGUCAUUUUGCUACGGAACCUCGACCCUCAUAAUGGCUUGUGUAAUGGAACACGGCUUAUGAUCAAAGCCUUCCAGGAUAAUGCAAUCGAUGCAGAGAUUGUUGGUGGCCAGCAUGCUGGAAAGAGGGUGUUCAUACCUAGGAUCCCUAUGCCGCCAUCGGAGGACACCUCACUUCCCUUCAAGCUUAAGAGAAAACAAUUCCCCAUCCGCCUGAGUUUAGAGAUGACCAUUAACAAGGCAUAG